rnacentral:rRNA from 1 species
ACACUGUAUCGCAACCUACCUAUCAUUGGGGGAUAGCCUUUGGAAACGGAGAUUAAUACCGCAUAAGACAGUAACAUGGCAUCAUGUAGCUGUUAAAGCUUCGGCGAUGAUAGAUGGGCAUGCGUCCAAUUAGUUAGUUGGUGAGGUAACGGCUCACCAAGACGAUGAUUGGUAGGGGAUCUGAGAGGAUAAUCCCCCACACUGGCACUGAGAUACGGGCCAGACUCUCGUCGAUCUCGGCAGCACGUAGAAUCCGCCAUUGGACGGAAGUCUGACCCAAGCAUGCGGUGUGCAGGAUGAAGGCGUUAUGCGUCGUCUACUGCCUUUCUAUAGGAAGAAGGAGACCUUGCGAGUUUUGGGUGACGGUACUAUAAGAUUAAGCACCGACUAACUCCGUGCCAGCAGCCGCGUUAAUACGGACGGUGCGAGCGUUGUCCGAAUUUAUUGGGUUUAAAGGGUGCGUAGACGGCUUAUUAAGUCAGUGGUGAAAGACGGUCGCUCAACGAUUGCAGUGCCAUUGAUACUGGUAGACUUGAGUUCGUAUGACGUAGCUGGAAUGGAUAGUGUAGCGGUGAAAUGCAUAGAUAUUAUCCAGAACUCCAAUUGCGUAGGCAGGUUACUAAUAUGAUACCCACGCUGAUGCACGAAAGUGUGGGGAUCAAACAGGAUUAGAUACCCUGGUAGUCCACACUGUAAACGAUGAUGACUAACUGUUUGCCCUUUGGGGUGAGUGGUACAGAGAAAUCGUUAAGUCAUCCACCUGGGGAGUACGCCGGCAACGGUGAAACUCAAAGGAAUUGACGGGGGUCCGCACCAGCGGUGGAGCAUGUGGUUUAAUUUGAUGAUACGCGAGGAACCUUACCUAGGCUAGAAUGUGAAGGAAUAAUUUAGAGAUAGAUUAGUUUGCAAAGACCUGAAACAAGGUGCUGCAUGGCUGUCGUCAGCUCGUGCCGUGAGGUGUUGGGUUAAGUCCCGCAACGAGCGCAACCCCUGUUGUUAGUUGCCAUCAAGUUAAGUUGGGCACUCUAGCAAGACUGCCUACGCAAGUAGAGAGGAAGGAGGGGACGACGUCAAGUCAUCAUGGCCCUUACGCCUAGGGCAACACACGUGCUACAAUGGGCGGUACAGAGGGUAGCUACCAGGCAACUGGAUGCCAAUCUCGAAAGCCGCUCUCAGUUCGGAUUGGGGUCUGCAACUCGACCCUAUGAAGCUGGAAUCGCUAGUAAUCUGGGGGUCGAGCUUUGCCCCCGGUGGAAUA